GCCGCCGCGAGCCCACGCGACAAGCACGGAGCGGGUCCACCUGCGGCGAGGGGCCGGUCUCUGCCACGGAGCCCGCCAGAGGGCAAAGCCCCAGACACAGCAAAUACGGAGGCAGCCGGCACUUGGGGAGGUCGAGGCGGGAGGAUCGCUGGAAUCUAGGAGUUCGAGACCCGUCUUGGCAAUAGACGUCUUCCAGUGUGUGGAACGCUGCUAAUGGACAGCCGUUCCUGCCAGCUCUGAUGAUGCUAGGCCUCCUCAGCACUCAGCCCAGGGCAGCCAGGAGAAGUGAAUGAAUGGUGAUUCAGAGGGACAGGAGGAAGCUGCGUGGCAUUUCAGAGAUACUUAUUUUAAAACUGCUGGUGGCCAUGUUUUCUUUUCCUAUCUGAGCUAAUAAUGAGUUUUGAUAUGUGAACAUUUCUUCUCCUUCAUAGGUAAUGUGUUGAUGUGGCACUUUAAUCUUAGAAUAAUCGUUUCUAAAACCAA